rnacentral:misc_RNA from 1 species
GAUGAAGAACGUAGCGAAACGCGAUAAGUAAUGUGAAUUGCAGAAUCCAGUGAAUCAUCGAAUCUUUGAACGCACAUUGCGCCCGCCAGCAUUCUGGCGGGCAUGCCUGUUCGAGCGUCAUUUCAACCCUCGACCUCCCCUUGGGGAGGUCGGCGUUGGGGACCGGCAGCACACCGCCGGCCCUGAAAUGGAGUGGCGGCCCGUCCGCGGCGACCUCUGCGCAGUAAUACAGCUCGCACCGGGACCCCGACGCGGCCACGCCGUAAAACACCCAACUUCUGAACGUUGACCUCGAAUCAGGUAGGACUACCCGCUGACCUUAAGCAUAUCAAUAAGCGGAGGA